GUCGAGCGGUAGAGAGAAGCUUGCUUUUCUUGAGAGCGGCGGACGGGUGAGUAAUGCCUAGGAAUCUGCCUGGUAGUGGGGGAUAACGUUCGGAAACGGACGCUAAUACCGCAUACGUCCUACGGGAGAAAGCAGGGGACCUUCGGGCCUUGCGCUAUCAGAUGAGCCUAGGUCGGAUUAGCUAGUUGGUGAGGUAAUGGCUCACCAAGGCGACGAUCCGUAACUGGUCUGAGAGGAUGAUCAGUCACACUGGAACUGAGACACGGUCCAGACUCCUACGGGAGGCAGCAGUGGGGAAUAUUGGACAAUGGGCGAAAGCCUGAUCCAGCAAUGCCGCGUGCAGGAUGAAGGCCUUCGGGUUGUAAACUGCUUUUGUACGGAACGAAAAAGCUUCUCCUAAUACGAGAGGCCCAUGACGGUACCGUAAGAAUAAGCACCGGCUAACUCCGUGCCAGCAGCCGCGGUAAU
rnacentral:rRNA from 1 species